GUCGUAACAAGGUUUCCGUAGGUGAACCUGCGGAAGGAUCAUUAACACUAAUCCAAACCUACUCAACGAAGCCCAAAUGCUUGCUCCGGCGAGCUCACAAAACUAAUCCGAGAAGCGUAAGCAAGCCAAAACCAAAACAAAUCCUCAACGAUGGAUGUCUAGGUUCCUACAACGAUGAAGAACGCAGCGAAGUGCGAUAAGCAAUGCGAAUUGCAGAUCCGUGAGUCAUCAGAUUUUUGAACGCAACUGGCAGCGCGGGGAACCCCCUGCGCCAUGCUUCUCUCAGUAUGUGAUUCUCUCCUGCCCCAAAUAAUAAUGCGACAGAUACCCUUCUGUUGCUAAGCUCGAAAGCACACUUCCUCUGCAGCGACCGGCUUGCCGGACGCACUCAAUGCAGCAGUCACAUUCUACAAUGUGAACUCAUUGAGAGCAGGCGAGGCGACGCGGUUUCCGCGCCAGUGCUUGGACAAUUAAAUUUUACGCAUCUGAGAUGAAGUAGGACCACCCGCUGAACUUAAGCAUAUCAUUAAGCGGAGGAAAAGAAACUAACUAGGAUUCCCCCAGUACGGGCGACGGAAGCGGGAAAAGCCCACGUUGGAAAUCUCCGGGCAACCGGCGAAUUGUAAUCUGAAGGCGCCACGCCUAAUUGGAAACGACGCAGAAGUGUCCACGAGCGGACCGCCAAAGAGGGUGAGAGCCCCGUCUGUGGUGUCGGAUCCUACCGGGCCGGUGUCCAAGAGUCGUGUACUCUGAUACGAGUGCACUAAGCGGGAGAUAGACUUCUUCUAAGGCUAAAUAUCUGUAGGAAACCGAUAGCGAACAAGUACUGUGAAGGAAAGAUGAAAAGCACUUUGAAAAGAGAGUUAGAAGACCUGAAAUCGUUGAGGCGGAAGCGGUAGAAAUGAAUUCUGCGGCGUGGCCUGAGCGUCCCGAGACAAACAUCGGAGCGUGGAGGCCGCGCAUCGAGGCAAGAUGGGGUCGGCUGGCGUCAGAGGCGGUGCGGGAUUCAUCCCGUGUUGGCUGGGCGUUGACCGGCCCGAGGGGCUAAUGCGAUCUUGUCAAAAUGGUUUUUACCGACCCGUCUUGAAACACGGACCAAGGAGUCUAAGACUAACGCGAGUAUGGUGGUGGAGAAACCAACAUGCGAAAUGAAAGUAAGCGAUGCCAUCCUCUGGGGCAGCAUCGACCAGCCAUGAGCCACUGGUGAAAGGUCUGAGUAAGAGCGUUAUUCUUAGGACCCGAAAGAUGGUGAACUAUGCGUGA
rnacentral:rRNA from 1 species